rnacentral:rRNA from 1 species
UACGGAGGGUGCGAGCGUUAAUCGGAAUUACUGGGCGUAAAGCGCACGCAGGUGGUUGGGCAAGUCGGAUGUGAAAGCCCUGGGCUUAACCUGGGAACUGCAUUCGAUACUGCCCGGCUAGAGUAUGGGAGAGGGAAGCGGAAUUUCCGGUGUAGCGGUGAAAUGCGUAGAUAUCGGAAGGAACACCAAUGGCGAAGGCAGCUUCCUGGCCCAAUACUGACGCUCAGGUGCGAAAGCGUGGGGAGCAAACAGG